UCGCGAUAACUUGAGGGACGCGAGUGGCAGGAAGCGCCGCGAUGCCCACAGCCGGGCUGUGGUGACGUACGAGCUGGCGGUGUCUGCCCUCUGUUAAAGUUCCAUCAAAAACGCUUUCCACUUCAUAGUCUCUUUCGUUGAAAAAUUUGCUCUUCUCCAAAAAUGUCGAUUAAAGUGUGGGCUACUGGUAUAACGUUCCAACAUUUCUCCCAAGGCCAGGGAACUCCGAGGACCAGACGCUGGUUCGGGUGCCAGCCUUCUCAGCAGCCCUUGGGUUGGUGCAGAUGGAGUCUUCUCCAGGGUCGUCAGUAUGGAUUUCUCAUCCCAGAACUCUCCACGCUUGGUCCCGAGGCAUCUAUAUGGCUAAGAGAAGAUUGAAUCUAUUCACAAAAUCAUCCAAGAGAAGUUUAAAGAAACACUUUCUCGCAUUUCAGAAGACUGCUACCCAACAGCAAGAUCAUAUACA